ACGCUCGACACCUACGGGAGGCAGCAGUCGGGAAUAUUGCGCAAUGGAGGAAACUCUGACGCAGUGACGCCGCGUAUAGGAAGAAGGUUUUCGGAUUGUAAACUAUUGUCGUUAGGGAAGAGAAAGGACAGUACCUAAGGAGGAAGCUCCGGCUAACUACGUGCCAACAGCCGCGGUAAUCUGAGCGGGCUGGCAAGGC
rnacentral:rRNA from 1 species